AGGUAAGCUACUAAGAGCGAAUGGUGGAUGCCUUGACUGGUAAAGGCGAUGAAGGACGUACUAGACUGCGAUAAGCUACGGGGAGCUGUCAAGAAGCUUUGAUCCGUAGAUUUCCGAAUGGGGCAACCCAAUGUAUAGAGAUAUACAUUACCUAUAUAGGAGCGAACGAGGGGAAUUGAAACAUCUUAGUACCCUCAGGAAAAGAAAUCAAUAGAGAUUGCGUCAGUAGCGGCGAGCGAAAGCGCAAGAGGGCAAACCCAGUGCUUGCACUGGGGGUUGUAGGACUGCAAUGUGCAAGAGGUAAGUUUAGCAGAACAUUCUGGAAAGUAUAACCAUAGAGGGUGAUAGUCCCGUAUGCGAAAAACAAACCUUAGCUAGCAGUAUCCUGAGUAGGGCGGGACACGAGGAAUCCUGUCUGAAUCCGGGUCGACCACGAUCCAACCCUAAAUACUAAUACCAGAUCGAUAGUGCACAAGUACCGUGAGGGAAAGGUGAAAAGAACUGAGGUGAUCAGAGUGAAAUAGAACCUGAAACCAUUUGCUUACAAUCAUUCAGAGCCCUAUGUAGCAAUACAGGGUGAUGGACUGCCUUUUGCAUAAUGAGCCUGCGAGUUGUGGUGUCUGGCAAGGUUAAGCAAACGCGAAGCCGUAGCGAAAGCGAGUCUGAAUAGGGCGCUUAGUCAGAUGCUGCAGACCCGAAACGAAGUGAUCUAUCCAUGAGCAAGUUGAAGCUAGUGUAAGAACUAGUGGAGGACUGAACCCAUAGGCGUUGAAAAGCCCCGGGAUGACUUGUGGAUAGGGGUGAAAGGCCAAUCAAACUUCGUGAUAGCUGGUUCUCUCCGAAAUAUAUUUAGGUAUAGCGUUGUGUCGUAAUAUAAGGGGGUAGAGCACUGAAUGGGCUAGGGCAUACACCAAUGUACCAAACCCUAUCAAACUCCGAAUACCUUAUAUGUAAUCACAGCAGUCAGGCGGCGAGUGAUAAAAUCCGUCGUCAAGAGGGAAACAACCCAGACUACCAGCUAAGGUCCCUAAAUCUUACUUAAGUGGAAAACGAUGUGAAGUUACUUAAACAACCAGGAGGUUGGCUUAGAAGCAGCCAUCCUUUAAAGAAAGCGUAAUAGCUCACUGGUCUAGUGAUUUUGCGCGGAAAAUAUAACGGGGCUAAAGUAAGUACCGAAGCUGUAGACUUAGUUUACUAAGUGGUAGGAGAGCGUUCUAUUUGCGUCGAAGGUAUACCGGUAAGGAGUGCUGGAGCGAAUAGAAGUGAGCAUGCAGGCAUGAGUAGCGAUAAUUAAUGUGAGAAUCAUUAACGCCGUAAACCCAAGGUUUCCUACGCGAUGCUCGUCAUCGUAGGGUUAGUCGGGUCCUAAGUCGAGUCCGAAAGGGGUAGACGAUGGCAAAUUGGUUAAUAUUCCAAUACCAACAUUAGUGUGCGAUGGAAGGACGCUUAGGGCUAAGGGGGCUAGCGGAUGGAAGUGCUAGUCUAAGGUCGUAGGAGGUUAUACAGGCAAAUCCGUAUAACAAUACUCCGAGAACUGAAAGGCUUUUUGAAGUCUUCGGAUGGAUAGAAGAACCCCUGAUGCCGUCGAGCCAAGAAAAGUUUCUAAGUUUAGCUAAUGUUGCCCGUACCGUAAACCGACACAGGUGGGUGGGAUGAGUAUUCUAAGGCGCGUGGAAGAACUCUCUUUAAGGAACUCUGCAAAAUAGCACCGUAUCUUCGGUAUAAGGUGUGGUUAGCUUUGUAUUAGGAUUUACUCCGAAAGCAAGGAAACUUACAACAAAGAGUCCCUCCCGACUGUUUACCAAAAACACAGCACUCUGCUAACUCGUAAGAGGAUGUAUAGGGUGUGACGCCUGCCCGGUGCUCGAAGGUUAAUUGAUGGGGUUAGCAUUAGCGAAGCUCUUGAUCGAAGCCCGAGUAAACGGCGGCCGUAACUAUAACGGUCCUAAGGUAGCGAAAUUCCUUGUCGGUUAAAUACCGACCUGCAUGAAUGGCGUAACGAGAUGGGAGCUGUCUCAAAGAGGGAUCCAGUGAAAUUGUAGUGGAGGUGAAAAUUCCUCCUACCCGCGGCAAGACGGAAAGACCCCGUGGACCUUUACUACAGCUUGACACUGCUACUUGGAUAAGAAUGUGCAGGAUAGG
rnacentral:rRNA from 1 species